GCAGCCGUGGCCUACUGGUUAGGGCUUUGGGUUUGGAACCGAAGGGUUUCUGGUUCAGUCCCCGACCCAGUA
rnacentral:tRNA from 1 species